GUGUCAGCCGCCGCGGUAAUACCAGCACCCCGAGUGGUCGGGACGAUUAUUGGGCCUAAAGCAUCCGUAGCCGGUUCUGCAAGUCUCCCGUUAAAUCCAACUGCUCAACAGGUGGGCUGCGGAGGAUACUACAGAGCUAGGAGGCAGGAGAGGCAAGCGGUACUCAGUGGGUAGGGGUAAAAUCCGUUGAUCCAUUGAAGACCACCAGUGGCGAAGGCGGCUUGCCAGAAUGCGCUCGACGGUGAGGGAUGAAAGCUGGGGGAGCAAACCGGAUUAGAAACCCCUGUAGUCC
rnacentral:rRNA from 1 species